rnacentral:rRNA from 1 species
AGUGAACGCUGGCGGCAGGCCUAACACAUGCAAGUCGAACGAACUCACAGGAGUUAGUGGCGGUUGGGUGAGUAACACGUGGGAACGGGCAUUUUGGUAUGGAAUAACUCUGGGACACUUGUGAUAAUACCGAAUGUGCCCUUCGGGGGAAAGAUUUAUCGCAAUUCUAGAGGCACGCGUUUGAUUAGCUAGUUGGGGAGGUAACGGCUCACCAAGGCGAAGAUCAGUAGCUGGUCUGUGAGGAUGAGCAGCCACGCUUGCACUGAGACGCGGCCGAGACUCCUACGGGAUGGGGCAGUGGGUGAUCUUGCGCAAUGGGCGAAGUGCUGACGGAGCCAUGCCGGGAGAAUGAUGAUGUUCUGAGAGAAGUAAAAUUCUUUCACCGGGGGCGAUAAUGACGGUACCCGGAGAAGAAGCCCCGGCUAACUUCGUG